AUUGAACGCUGGCGGCAGGCCUAACACAUGCAAGUCGAACGAGUGGCGGAAGGGAGAGUAAUGUCUGGGAAACUGCCUGAUGGAGGGGGAUAACUACUGGAAACGGUAGCUAAUACCGCAUACCAUCAGAUGUGCCCAGAUGGGAUUAGCUUUUGGGGGGGGUAACGGCGCACCGAGGCGACGAUCCAUAGCUGGUCUGAGAGGAUGACCAGCCACACUGGAACUGAGACACGGUCCAGACUCCUACGGGAGGCAGCAGUGGGGAAUAUUGCACAAUGGGCGAAAGCCUGAUGCAGCCAUGCCGCGUGUGUGAAGAAGGUCUUCGGAUUGUAAAGCACUUUAAUUUGGGAGGCGUUACCAACAGAAUAAGCACCGGCUAACUACGUGCCAGCAGCCGCGGUAAUUC
rnacentral:rRNA from 1 species